GGUCUUGGGCAAGGCACCUGCCGGGUAGCUGUACCACAAUUAAGUCACCGCAUCUAAAAGUUAAUUUGUUGUGGCCAUUGUCUAGUGCCCCUGUCGGACCGUUGUGGUAUUGGCUGUUCCAGUAGUAUACAUGAGUAUUAAAGCAGGUGCUUAUAGGAGAGGUUCCUGGGUCCAUC